UGGAAACGAUAGCUAAUACCGCAUAACAGUAGAUGUUGCAUGACAUUUGCUUAAAAGGUGCAAUUGCAUCACUACCAGAUGGACCUGCGUUGUAUUAGCUAGUUGGUGGGGUAACGGCUCACCAAGGCGACGAUACAUAGCCGACCUGAGAGGGUGAUCGGCCACACUGGGACUGAGACACGGCCCAGACUCCUACGGGAGGCAGCAGUAGGGAAUCUUCGGCAAUGGACGGAAGUCUGACCGAGCAACGCCGCGUGAGUGAAGAAGGUUUUCGGAUCGUAAAGCUCUGUUGUAAGAGAAGAACGAGUGUGAGAGUGGAAAGUUCACACUGUGACGGUAUCUUACCAGAAAGGGACGGCUAACUACGUGCCAGCAGCCGCGGUAAUACGUAGGUCCCGAGCGUUGUCCGGAUUUAUUGGGCGUAAAGCGAGCGCAGGCGGUUAGAUAAGUCUGAAGUUAAAGGCUGUGGCUUAACCAUAGUACGCUUUGGAAACUGUUUAACUUGAGUGCAAGAGGGGAGAGUGGAAUUCCAUGUGUAGCGGUGAAAUGCGUAGAUAUAUGGAGGAACACCGGUGGCGAAAGCGGCUCUCUGGUCUGUAACUGACGCUGA
rnacentral:rRNA from 1 species